rnacentral:pre_miRNA from 1 species
AAACACAUCAUCUAGGGAUCUGGUUAAAAAGCAGAUUCUGACUCAGUGGGUCAGGAUGGGGCCUAAGAGUUUGUAUUUCUAAGAAGCUCCCAGGAGAUGCUUAU